rnacentral:tRNA from 1 species
UCCCCCGUAGGUUAAUUGGCAGACCGCCGGUCUCUGGAAUCGGAAGUUUUGGUUCAAGUCCAGACGGGGGAGC